UUCUCUCCGAAAUAGCUUUAGGGCUAGCCUCAAGGUAAGAGUCUUGGAGGUAGAGCACUGAUUGGACUAGGGGCCCUACCGGGUUACCGAAUUCAGUCAAACUCCGAAUGCCAAAGACUUAUCCUUGGGAGUCAGACUGCGAGUGAUAAGAUCCGUAGUCGAAAGGGAAACAGCCCAGACCGCCAGCUAAGGUCCCAAAGUAUACGUUAAGUGGAAAAGGAUGUGGAGUUGCUUAGACAACCAGGAUGUUGGCUUAGAAGCAGCCAUCAUUUAAAGAGUGCGUAAUAGCUCACUGGUCGAGUGACUCUGCGCCGAAAAUGUACCGGGGCUAAACGUAUCACCGAAGCUGCGGACUGUUCUUACGAACAGUGGUAGGAGAGCGUUCUAAGGGCUGUGAAGCGAGACCGGAAGGACUCGUGGAGCGCUUAGAAGUGAGAAUGCCGGUAUGAGUAGCGAAAGAGGGGUGAGAAUCCCCUCCACCGAAUGCCUAAGGUUUCCUGAGGAAGGCUCGUC
rnacentral:rRNA from 1 species